CCACCGGGCACGCGCCGCGCCCGCUGGGACGUCUUGAGCCCAGCCCGGCGUCCCGGGCCACCCCGGCCAGGCGCUGGGAAAGGGCUGCCAUCCGUCUUUCGGGUCCGCUGAGUGGUCGGCCGGAUUCAUCCUCAGAGACGUUCCCCAAGGGAAAGUCGACGAGGCUAAAACAGCACAGAUGUUGCACAUCAGUACAAACAGCACAGCGCUCAAAUUCGUGGUCAGGUACCUACAGGUAAGAAGUCGACCGAAGGCUCCCCCCGGGAAAAACUGGACUUACUGGAAAUGAGAGCCACAGGCGAGACCUUCCCAUGACAAGACGAGACACUUGGUGGCAUCCGAUGCAGAUCGAACAGUAACCAGGGAAGCCACUAUCCGUGGUGAAACGCACAUGAAAAGGAUUUGGCCCUGGCGCAAAUGAUUUCAAGGGAAAAAAAAUAGGAGAAUAAAGGAAAUUUCUCUGCACUACGUAGAAAACGGAUCGAGGCAUUAAAUUGUCCUCCGUGGCGUUUGCCUUGAAAAUACUUUCUAGAAUGAAAAUUCAGGGUGGAUAUAAUCCUGAUUAAAAUGUUUGUGUUCGUAAACACAGGGUCAGAGUGUCCGCUGGGUCAGUGUGCAAAUGCCAAGAAGUCCACUCUGGGUGAUGGUGACACCUUCCCUCCGGGGCCACCCAGGCAAGCCUCCAGGGCCGGCUCUAGGCUUCUUUUCCUCAGCGUUCCCAAGCCCACAGCAGCUCCCAGAGGUCGUUUUGAAGAAGACAGGGUGGCUGGGGAGAGGGCCUUCUGGGAGUGCUGUCCGAGGUCCUAAAAUGUGGCCCCUCCAUCCCCCAAAGAGCUGCAGGGAGCCCCACCCUGGCCUCCUCUCUCAGAUGCGUGUCCAGGGACCGAGCCAGGGUUCUCCUGGGCCAGGCUUUGCAGAGGGCUGGCCUGAGCAGCUGGGGGUCAGAGGGAGAAUGGGGGGGUCAGAGGGAGAAUGGGGGGGACAAGGAUUGGUGGCAACAGAAAUGCUAUUUAUGACAGUUUUGAAAAGGCCUGGGGUCUGGAAGAGCAGCCGCCAUUGCUGCUUCUCCUUUACUAACACAGCCUGCCGCUUUUUACAAAUGUGUUGGUAAGUGAGAAACCACCAAUGAAAAAUCAAUAAAAAUGAGGAAAUACAUUGUCCUGUCUUUGUGUUUUCACCUCUGGAUUUAUUUAUUUAUCUUUUUCUUUUUAGGGCUGCACCCAAGGCAUAUGGAGCUUCCCAGGCUGGGGGUCGAAUCAAGCUGCCACUGCCAACCUACACCACAGCUCAUGGCAAUGCCGGAUCCUUAACCCCUUGAGCAAGGCCAGGGAUGGAACCCACAUCCUCACGGCUACUAGCCGGGUUUGUUUCUGCUGAGCCACAGCAGGAACUCCCCGCCUCUGGAUUUUAUGGGACUGUAACUU
rnacentral:lncRNA from 1 species